rnacentral:lncRNA from 1 species
UGUGGUGGCAUGAAGGUAGCCACGAGAAGUCAGUGAUUCUUCAGAAGAAUAUUAUUCCAAACUGACCUUGCUUGUUCCUUUGCAGGUAGCCAGCACUGUUCACAUCAUAUUACAACAGGAUGCUUAUGAGCUCAUCAAGGGAAGACUGCAGUGGGUCAUGUGCCUUAUAAAACUGAUGCUGCAGUGCAAACAUACAAAGGAUGUGCCUGGUCUGAUGAGUUGCUGAGAACAGCACGGAGUCCUGCUAUGGCUUGUGGCCUGUUUACUGUCCAUGGAUUCAUGCACCCACCCAUCCCCCCAGCCUCCUGUCCUGCAACAUUUUGAUGUACGUACCCAGAAACUGCUGGUAGGAUGGCAGCCAUAAGCUUCCAAAGCCAGGAGUACUUUUAAGUGACAUUUGUUGGGUGUUAUGAAUCAGACCUCCAGCGGUAACCUUGUGGCCGCAGGGACCUGAGGACAGCAGCAGGCUUCAGCAGGACAAACGGGGAGAGCCACUGGUCCCAUGGCGUGUGGCUGGAGGGCAGCAGGAAGACUGCACAGACCUGCCACGGAGGGGACGCAUCUGGCUCAAUUUCCAUUUAUAUUCAACUACACUGUGGAAAAGACUUUGUGUGUGAAUGUCUCCACGAUACCACUCAGUAAGAGGAGAAGAUUCUACCCUUAAAAGGGUGGUGCAAGUCCAGAACUGCUCUGCUGACUUCACAGAGGUGUAAAUGAGAACAAAACAAAGACAAUUACUUUUAAAUGGAUUAAUCAGAGCAAGAUAAAAAAUAAGAAAAUUCUGUUCCCAUUUUAUAUUCAGGUAAGAAAUUGGGGUUUGUUCUCCUUGUUUGCCAGUGCUUCAGAAAUAGGAAAUAAUAUCUGAGAAUUCUUUUUUCUUUCUUGACAAAGAGCGUUAGUCAAAAAUUGGGAACCAGAUGGCUGCUUAUAUAUUUCUUUUUCUUUUUUUUUUUAUUUACUGCAAUACUAAAGCCACCAUAAAAAAAGCAAAGUUGAACAGACAGAGCUAAUAAUAUAAUCAUUCAAAACACCUGCAAACAGUGCAGAUGGGCAAUUUCUGUCUGCAAAAUCAUCAGUGAAAGACCGCCUUCCCAUAUGGGCAAAUCUAGCUGCCUUAGAGCUUCCUAAGCUCUGUCCCUUACCUUAAGAAAACCUGCAUUGAGCAUAUGCAGUCUUUUUAUAGCAGAGCAGAAGUGUCUGUAUCUGCCCGUUUAUUUUAGUUAAAUAUAACGUACCACACUGAUAGCCCUCUAUCAGCGUAUUUGAUUUGCCCAUCAUAUGUCCCCAAAGUGCAGAAACCCUGAAGCAAUAAGGCAAACAGCUUUUAUUCGGGCAGAACAUUUGCAAUUGUUAAUGUAUUUUAACGAACCCCCAGCACACAAAUUUUAUUCCUUUAUGUAAGCAAACAGCUACAGGAUCAGGGCUGCUG